rnacentral:misc_RNA from 1 species
CUAAGGAAAAAGUUAUCAUCUUCAGUUUUGAGAGACUUAAAAAAGUUUUUCAUUUUUUAAGAUUAGGGCCUAUAGCUCAGUUGGUUAGAGCACACGCCUGAUAAGCGUGAGGUCGGUGGUUCAAGUCCAUUUAGGCCCACCAAAAUAGGUCACAUCUUA